AAUUUCCCCCCUUGCCGUAGUUCCUGGUCGUCUCCACAAAGGCGUAUGAGCUCUGUGAUUUAACCCUGUCACUGCGCAGACAUUAGCAGAAAGGUUGCAGCUGCAAGUCAGCUAGCGGAGAGACAGCAUGUGCAGACACCAGAAGUGGACACAGUAUUCCAGCAGAGGUCACACCCGUGCAAAAUACAGAGGUGAAAGAACCUGGUGUACUGCUUUCGUAAGACUCCAUCUUAUUCCCUUGACGGAUUCUUCCAAACUUUGCACAUAUAGUGGUAGACAGGAUAGGGAUUGUACUUCAACCACUUGGACUGAAAUUUUGUAGGCCAGGUAUCUGCCUCAAGUUAAUUUUUUUUUUUAAAGUUUCAGCUAAAUUAGUUCAGCCAUUUGUAACAGAUAUUUGUAACAGUUUAGCUACCAGUACAUUUCCACAGCAAAGUUUAGCACAAAUAUAAAGAAUUCUGAGUGUACACUUCAUGGAUGUAAAACAUUCUAUAUAAUAUACCUUAUUUGCUAUUAGCUACUUUUUUAUCUUAAUAGCACAAAACACUGUAUUCAAUCACACUGUAGUUACAUCAGUAAAUCAAUGUACACGUUUUGGUUAAUGCAUCUGUUUGCAAGAACCAGUUUCAUGGUUGUUAGUAGAAAUCCAUUCCUUAUGUGGUGAUACUACCAUUGCAACAUCCAUAGUAUAGUUUCACAAACAGUGUUUUUCGACUUCACUUAUGGCUGAGUCAUAAAGUACUGUGGGACUUUGGUUCAUUUUGGGCAACUCAGUAAAGCAUCAAGUCAACACAGAUGGUUUUAGCAGUGCGACAUGGCCAGUGGUGUUGAUUCUAAGGUACAAGACCAAAAUCUUAGAAAUAUUUUGCCAGUUACACUAGUGAGAUACAGAAGUGAGAAGGCUAGAGCAUAGGACUGAGCUGGAUUAAGGCAAUCCCCUGGAAAGGAUUAUGACUUCAAAACAGGGUGUGCCUGCACCUCUGUGCUUCCAGUUACAUCUAAAUUAAAGGUGGAGAAGCAGCAUACAUUGAACCCUGAAAUGGGUGGAAUUGGAAAAAGCAUUAAAAGCCCCUCCUGUAUGCCAAUCUGGGGCAAUUGUCUAUAUUAACAUACAAGAAGACAUCCACUAUAGUAAAGCAUUGGCAUGGAGAUGCACUGCCAGCACUUCAAGCAAUUUUGUUAUCGGGAGUCGGAAGGAUCCUCAGAAGUUUACAGUCAACUCUGUGAACUUUCCCAUCCAUGGCUGCAGCCAGAGAUCCACACAAAGGAGCAGAUCACAGUGCUGCUGGUUCUUGAGCAGUUCCUGACCAUUCUGCCUGAGGGAAUCCAGACUUAGGUCUGGAAAUCUCAUCCCCAGACUGGUGAUGAGGUUCUGGCCGUGGUAGAAGAUUUCCAGUUAAUUCAUGAAGGAGAUAAGAGACUUGGGCAACAGUGUUCCUGAUGCCUUUGGCACAUGCUGCCUUAUAGCCUCGAGUCCUAGGGAAGGAAGUUGUGUGUAAAACUUCUCAGCUCCUCGGUUCACACAUAACAGAUGCUUGUGUGAGUUUUUGUGAAAAGUUGCUUUUUCUGGUAAGUAGAAAUUGUGAGCUUUUGCUGUCACUAGAGAAAUUGUUUGAGCCCAUAAGGAGUUCUGAUUGGUUACAUUUAUUGCAUAGUCAUACUUUAAGUAAACUAAUUGGUUCGGGUAUAGAUAAGAGACUCUCAUUUUACCUAUGUAAUGAGGGUUAGAAGAGAAGCCAGUUGGAACCUAACUCUGGGACACUCCUUAAGACCAAAGCUGCUGGAACUCUUACACCCUGCACGACUAUACCAUGGAGCAGCAAGAGCCCCAGGUGAAAUCCGAUCCUGACUGGCCAUCAGAAAACAUCUGUCUGCAUUAUUAGGAGUGAUGCCAGUGCCUACCUCCCCCAGGGAAGAAGAGGAACAUGUGGGCCAGGUAUAAAUCUCGAGACGGGCGGCCAUGACAGGUACCAACAAGGAAAUGUAACAGCACGCUAAACUCAGGACCGGACCAGAAGCAGUAGAGCCCUCCCACGGAUCCGAAGGGACUUUGGGGACUCUCAUCACCUCGCGGCCAAUCUCCUGGGCAGCUGUUGCCUGGCCAGCUUCAGCCACUUGCAAAAUCAAAACCAACAUCCAUGCCUGAAGCCUGCCAGCAUGAAAGAGUUGUGUGUGUGAAUCUUGGAGAAACACAAGAGAGCCAACAGUGUGAGCAGAGCCUUAGAAAUAUUGUGUCAUCAGCAGCAGCUGUUUUGUCCUGAAAAAAUGAAACAAGUGGUGGAGGGCUUGAGCUAUGUCCCUGUAAAACUUAUCCUUUUCCACCCCAAGUUUUGAAAUGGUGAAGAAGAAGAGGCAUAUGGAAAAACACCAUUGCUCAAAGAUCUCAGCCAAUCAGAGAUGAUGUUCUGAGCCACAUUAAAGAGAGGUAAGUUUUAUCAUGCUUAUGAUCAGGUUUAGAGGAAUUAGCAACCUGGUCUUCCACUCAGGAAAGGCAACACAGGUCAGGGGCUAUUUGCUGGCAAUGCUGGAGUUCCUCAGAGACGCAGAUGAGGCUAAGAGGAUGGCAGGGCAGACAGUGAAAGCUUUCCAGAAUACAGUUUGCCACUUGGAACAAGAAGAAGUAGUCACAGUUGUGCUUUUGCAAUGUCCCCAACCAGCUCUGCUACUCUUCAAUGGUGAGAAAGGAAGGGCCCACUUUGCUGCUAGGGUUGCAUUUGGCAAAACGUGAAGGUGCCUGGAAAAACUUAAACUUGGUACCAUCAGCCUCCUGCGUGAAAUGUACUGCAUCCUGCUUCUCAUGCAGGUACAAGGGUCCUGACAUGUUCAAGGCAUGUGGAGACACAGAGACUGGUUGGGGUGGAUAUAGUAUAUGCGAAUGACCAGUCACAAGUAGGUCUGGCCAAAGGAAGGGGAUGGUGGGGAUUAAUAAACUCAGAAUCUGUGAAAAUAAUAUGCAUGGCAUAGAUCCUUUACAUCAGAUCUGUUCAGAGCCCCACUGCUUUCAAUGGAGCUCCAUGUGAGCUGAAAGGUUUGCCCUGGUGCAUCUGAUUGUAGGAUUGGGUCUUUUGUUUAUGUGGGCAGUGUAAGAUUUAAGAUUGCCAUAGCUAUUUGAAGUAUUUUUUGUUUUCAGAAUGACCCAGGUUUUGCUUAUUUUUAACCUUUCGUUUUCUCUUGUGUGUCGGUAAAUGAAGACAGUGCGUUAAAUCAGUGGGGUGAAUGUGUCACCUGAUUAGUAAAAUAAAGGAGUGAGUGGUGCAGGACUAGCUAACAAUGGAUCCUGCAGAGACAGCCCUGCCUCAUUCCAUGUGGACCUGACAAUUUAGGUGCAUUCACUAGGUAGCUAUGUUAGUGAUACACACCAGUACAGUGCACCUGACCUUCAUUUCAAACACUGCUGAAGAGUCAUUGCACAUGACAUGUCUGAUCCAAGGCUAGAAAACCACGUCUCCUGAUUGCACAAGCAGCAGCUAAGCCAGUAGGAUGCAGUGCCUGCUAGACACCUCACUGAACCUCUGUGUCCUACAUAGCCAUCUUUUGUAACAAAGUUUUGCAUUUACAAAGCACUUUUUCAUCCUAAGACCUCAACACACCUUCCAAAGGUGGUUAAGCAUUAGUAGCCCGUUUUACACUUGACUUAAGUACAGAGACUUGAAGCAAUCUGUAUGAGAGGUACUGUGGUCUAGUGAGAAAAGAAAUGGUUUUACCAUUUCAGAGUGCUGGGGAAGGAGCGCCUAUAUUCUGGGGUCCACCAAAAGCCUCCUUUGACAAUUUGUUUAAACGCUGUUAUUCUCAUUUGGAAAAUGGCCCUGUAGAGGAUGCAGAAGGAGGGGUAACUUUACUAGUUCUUUUCACUUUUUAAAAGAAAAAUAUUGCUUGUGGCCUUGAUUUUUUCCUCUGUUGCCUUCACUGUCAGAAGCAGGUAUAAUUUUGAAAUAAUGGCCACUUCAUAGACGUUUGACUAUUUUUGGCCUUGAAAACUGCCUCGUGUAUCACAUUUUGUGAUGCAAUGUUACUUGCUUGGGCAGACAGAAUGGAAACUUGCAAACAUUUUAAAAAGGAGUCAUUUUAAAGUCUUUUAAUCUUAACAAAUGCUCACUCAAUUCACUAAAUUUAAAGAAAGUCAAUGAAACUUAAUCAUUAAAAAUUGAAAGCUUAAUAAUGUAUCUUUUUUUGGUACAAAAAUCAGCCUUUCAAUGGGACCCUAGUUGCAACUCCUUGUCCGCCUGCUAAGCUGCAACAAGCUGAUAUGCGCAAUCCCUCUCCAACAGAAGUCAAUGAAAAAUGCCUAUUGUCAUCUAUGAAAACAGGACUGGGCCUAUUACUCAGACUGACAUCCAUGGGCGCAAGAUCGGGCUGCAUGAUCCACAUAAAACACUGUCACUAACUUUGCUUAAUUACACUUUCUUCAACAAAGUGGGUGCAUGAAUUUUCAGGGGAAUUUAACUAUAUGGAAAGUUUGAAAGGGGAGUAACAAGCUCUUUUUCAGCUAGACAAAAGAAAUGUUCGCCAAAAAUCAGAAUUUCAAAGCAUGGUGAUUUUUUAAAAUGACUGAUUCAAAAACACCUUUAUUAAUUUUGUUUAAGGUUUGCACAAGCAUUCGCCUUCAUGUUGAGCAUAAAUACAACUCCUCUCAGGCCACACAAACUUUCCAAGCAAGAGCUAUAGAAGUGAUAAGAGGGCUUUUUAAUGGAAGCCAAAUUAUAGAGAUUCUAAUGCCUCUCCAUAGUAAAGUCACUUUGUGUGUGUGUGUGUGUGUUCAUACUGAUAAAAAAAUGUACACAGCUUCUGUAUGUCUCAUCAAUCAGGGCUUGAAAGCAUCAGUCCUUGGCAACCUGAGACAGAGAUCUAAACCACAUUCAUCAGUCUUCCACAAUUUACUUUUCCUUACUUCCCUUAGCUUUGAGUGACAUGGAAAAUGUGGUUUCACAAUCUAAUAACGUAUUCGGCCCAGUUGGUUUCAUUGAGCUAGAAUCUGUGAACUGCAUUUAAGAAAACCUCUCACUGAUUUAUUUCUUUGAUAUUUUCUUGUCUUAUCAUAUUCCUUUCCUAAUUUCUAAGACUAAAAUCUGCAAAUAUUAAGGAGGGAGGUGGGGAUGAGAGUGUCUAGCUCUUAGACUUUGGAUGGAAAGAUGGCAGCUUUGGUUAAUCCAUCCUCUUGCACACCAGAAUCUAGACAAAAGACCCAGAACAACCCAUGCCUAAAGCUUCAGUUAUGGCUUUAAAAUUAGCAUGGUCCUAUGGAGGAAAGACACAUAUUAAAGCAUUAGUAAAAAGAUAAUUGUGAUCAUAGUAACAGGGCACAUUGACUGCAGGCAGCUGUUGGUGGUAGAUUCCCUGCUACUUUCAAGCCCAGAUGUUUAGAGGAGAGGAAGGUCCUUUUGGCUGCUACUGAUUAUUUCAGUGCCUGAUGGUGCUUGAUGCCCUGAAAUAGGAAAGGAACUUAUAGCAGAGGCUCACAACGAAGUACCAGAUGUUACGAGCCAUCUGCGACCUUGCAAUGAAAAUGCGCCAGAUGAUCACAAGGAGGGUAGUGUUGAAUGCAUACUGGAUGUUCCUUAGCCUGACAAAUAAAAGAGAAGCACAUUAAGAAAAAUUACUUAAAACGAUACCCUAAGAUGCAGCCUUAACAUCUUUGGAUCAAACUUAAAGAGGAAUUUCUGCAUUGCAGAACACUUUUAAAGUGAUCUUAUUUAUAAAAUGGAAUGAUGUGGCCCUCCUGCCUUUUCUGUUUAUUAGCAAGGAUACUAGUGCCUAAACAGGUGUCUCCUUUGUGUCCCAAAGCCACCGCCUCCUACAUGACCCUGCGUUGAAAUUAUAAUGCAAUGAAUGCAGUGACGUGAUAGAUUCAGCUACACCAGCAUGCCCCAGAUUUCUUUGAUUCCAUGCAUUCUGAUUUCAGACCCGAAUUGAGACUGAAUUAACAUUGGUGGUCGAUUGCCUAGGGAUGGACUAAGAGAUGUCCUAUUGUCCAUGUUUUACUCUGGUGUGUCAGCAACUUUUAAUAACAUCGACAAUGAGAUUUUGGUGACUGGCUUAUGGAAUGUUUACAGGGAUUUACAAAAUGCUCCUUCAGUGGGUUUGUUCCUCCCUCGCUGCGACAUCUCAGACAGAUUCUACAGUUCUACCCAUUUCUUACUUUCCCAGUGUCUGGCCAAGAGGAGGAUCAGGACAAAAGCAAACUAGCUGUGACGUAGCUUGGUCAAGAUUGCUUUGUCUUUUGUGUGUGUGCGCUAUGUUUUGAUAUUUUGGCUUGCACUGGUAGUGAUGGAGUUUAUGCUACCCAUUUGGGUUACUAUGUAGUUUAUAUGUUCCUGAUUUAUUAUAGAAGCACUUAGAAACUAGGAAUAUAAAUCUUUAAAAUUUACUCAACAAACUCAUGAUUCAUUUGUGACACCCCAGAAAUGGCAACAGCCUGUCUUACACUUGUAGUUUCACAGCAGCCAGUGUUUUCCAGAGUGCAAAGUGCUGUUCCUUGAAAGGCAUAACACUGGUCCUUCAGCAGAAGUACCUGUGUCCCUGUUUUCAUGUUCUUUGGCACUUCUGAGUAUUUGGUCUGGAGGAGAUGAGCAGGGCUUACACUUUUUUUUAAUUGGAAAAAAGGAACCCAAGAUCUUUAAUUUAGAAUGUUUUAGAACUUUAUAGGUUCUAGUUCCAAAAUAUCAAAUCCAACUUUGAAGCCUCUAUUUCAUUUGGGAAUGGGAGACAGGGAGUGAGGGUAAAAUCUCCUCAAUCUCCACUACAAGUGUAUUUCUAGAUUCUGUUUUAAAGUUUUACACAACCCCUGGAAAUUGUCAUCGACCUUUAGGAGUUUCCCAAAAUCCAAAGCUGCCCCUCACGCCUUUCUUUUUUCCUGUCCUAAAUGAACCUUUGGAACUUCUGCAGCAACAGAUCUGUAACCCCUCUCUGCCUCUUUAGGGGUAGAGGUGUGUGUGUUUGUGUGUGUGACUAAUAACUCACCGGUGAGGAGGAUUGACUACUUCCAUGACAGUAUCAUGUGCUGCUGCUGGACUAUGAGGCCAGCCCAACCCCCCGUUUUUUCCCACAAGAUGGGCAAGGAAAUAUUAAGCCAGAUCCUGACCUGAUGUAAAUAGGGAGCUAUGUCAUUUUUAUCUCACAUGAGAUCAUUCUCAACUUGACACAGGUUCUAUUCACCUGUCCUCGUCCCAGAAAUCGUAUCAUUCAAUUUAAAACAGAAACCCUUGCCUUAAAAACCCUUAGAUACAACUACCCAAGGCAGCUGGGGGCCGUUACCACAUUUGACCAUGUAUGGCUUACUU